rnacentral:tRNA from 1 species
AAAGAAUUAGUUAAAAAAUAACAUAAAUAUGUCAAAUUUAAAUUAUUAUUUACAUAUAAUAUUCUUUU